UCCGUCCAGUAAUCAACUACCUACUUUACGAUUCUAUGACCUAUUAGAGAAAGAGCCUGUGGGAGCCAGACCUUCGUUAUUUUAUAAAAGCUGUAAGUUUCUCUGCGCAAUGUCCCCAACACUUGGAGGAACGAUCAGCGACUAUGAAGUUUGGAUCAUGGUGGCUUUGGCAGAUAACAGGUAACAAAGACGCAUAGAAACUUUCGUCAAAGUAAAGAGUCAAUUUUUUUUAUUUUCUUCGGAAUAGUAUUAGACAUCACGUCAUGCAUUGCCAGACACUUUAUCGUGGCAACUCCC